UGCCUCAACCUGAUUAAGAAAAGCUCAUCUGAGUGAGUGGAGAGCUAGCAAAGGAAAAAUAUUGAAAAGGCCUCCUAGCUCAGUAAUAACCCAGCCUGAACCUGAAGGACAGAAUGAAAAACCAGUUGGGUCGUUUUGGACUACCCUGGCAGAAGAAGAUGAACAAAGAUUAUUUACUGAAAAAGUAAACAAGACAUUUUCUGAAUGCCUAAACCUGAUUAAUGAGGGAUGCCCCAAA